ACGCAGCUGACGAGUUCCAAAUAAGAUGAAACGCGAGUCCAGGAU
rnacentral:hammerhead_ribozyme from 1 species